CAAAACAAGAAUCAAAUGAGGGAUUAAGAUUACUAACCUCACUAGAAGCUCCAAAUCAAGCUAGAGAUGAGCUAGGGUUGAAGAUCCUCCUUCAAACAAGCUCCAAUCAAAGCUUCAAUGCUUCUCUAAUGGUGGAAAGUCACCAAAAUGCAAAAAAGAACAAAAAGGAGAGAUUAAUCUCCAAAUCCCAAGCAAAAAGAGAAGGAAAAAUCAUG
rnacentral:lncRNA from 1 species